UGAAAGUUUUAUGCCUAAAAAUUUAAAUUUUUUUAAAAUGAUUUCUUUAUCAAUUUCCAAGGCUGGUUUCUCCAUUUUAAAAAUAUUUUUGGAAAAAAUGCUGAAACAGGUGUCCAAUGAAUUUCUUAGAAGAAUGUGUGUUUAAAUCUUCAAACCUCUAACUUCACUGGUUGAGGAGAUAUGAGCGUUUUAUGCCUAAAAAUUUAAUUUUUUUUAAAUGAUUUCUUUAUCAAUUUCCAAGGCUGGUUUCUCCAUUUUAAAAAUAUUUUUGGAAAAAAUGCUGAAACAGGUGUGCAAUGAAUUUCUUAGAAGAAUGUGUGUUUAAAUUUUCAAACCUCUAACUUCACUGGUUGAGGAGAUAUGAGCGUUUUAUGCCUAAAAAUUUAAUUUUUUUUAAAUGAUUUCUUUAUCAAUUUCCAAGGCUGGUUUCUCCAUUUUAAAAAUAUUUUUGGAAAAAAUGCUGAAACAGGUGUCCAAUGAAUUUCUUAGAAGAAUGUGUGUUUAAAUUUUCAAACCUCUAACUUCACUGGUUGAGGAGAUAUGAGCGUUUUAUGCCUAAAAAUUUAAUUUUUUUUAAAUGAUUUCUUUAUCAAUUUCCAAGGCUGGUUUCUCCAUUUUAAAAAUAUUUUUGGAAAAAAUGCUGAAACAGGUGUCCAAUGAAUUUCUUAGAAGAAUGUGUGUUUAAAUUUUCAAACCUCUAACUUCACUGGUUGAGGAGAUAUGAGCGUUUUAUGCCUAAAAAUUUAAUUUUUUUUAAAUGAUUUCUUUAUCAAUUUCCAAGGCUGGUUUCUC